rnacentral:lncRNA from 1 species
CUCAACUUCAUGUGGGUAGGCCCUUAAAAUGGUUUAUACUCUGUGCUUUUGUGGAAAAACAAUUAUUUCAGAGCAGGGUAACUGAAUGCCAUUAUUAUACAGAUUUCCAGUUUUAAAUGAGAAAUCAUUCUGGGGUAGCAUUACCUAGCUGCUUGCUUCUUCCCUCCUUAGAUGAGGCAGUACCUUUGGAAUAUUUACUUUAUACACAAGCACAUAGACAGCAGCUGUUGGAAUUAGGCAGCUUCUGCAAACAAGUGGUAAAGUCUCAAAGAGCAACUACUAUAGCUGCUCCAUGGUCAGAUUCAGCUAACAAUUGCAGAAAAUUGUCAGAAAAAAUGUUAUGAUGAUAGAGAAGUGUGAAUGCAUUUCUUAUCUGUUUCAUUUUUUUGUAAACAAUCUAAUGGAAGAAAGCCAUUCAGGACAUGGGAGGAUUAUGCAGCUCUAUACAGUGUGCAGUGGGAAAGCCUCAAAAAGCAACAUCUUCCUCCCUGUGAAUCUGCUGAGAAUCUCUACAGGAAAACGAAGGAGGAGAAAAAUGUGGUUGGAAGGGGAAAGUUGGAAAACAGGAUCUACCGUGCUUCAGGUCAAUGAGGAUAGAUGAAAGUUUAAACUGAGGGCCACGUUUCAUUCAGCAAACUGCUGAGUUCAUACCAAUAAAACCUGAAUAUGUUGGACUUUUGAAAUCUGC